ensembl:lncRNA
UGAAUAUUUUCGUAACUUAAUAUUUUCUAUAAUAAAAUUAAUUUAAUUGGACUUCAACAUAAAUUGAUUUUACAAAACUCAUUUUAAAAGUUUAUACCAGACGUAAAAAGACACGACCCGCCCACCUGCAGCAACGGAAGAACAAGCCCGGGCAAGUCCUUCACGCUCGUCUGUUUCAUGAGUUUAUUUGAACAAGGUUUUCCACGGAGCCGGAUCAUUUAUACUUCAAGUUCCCCAUGACCCAAGUGCCACUGCAGUGAAGAAGAGAGAUGUCACUCUGAGAUGCCUCUUUGAGUAUAUGGGAGAGAGUGGACAAGAGCUCAUCUCUGAUUACUUUGGGGCUGCAGAGACCACUGUUCAUGAGGACCUGAAAAUGAAGAAUAUGAUCAUCUAUGUCUGCCGUGAGCCAGAUGCAGUAGGAAUCAUCAUAGAGGGAAUACCAGUCCUUACCAAUCUUGGAAAUCUGGCCAAAGCAUGCUGCUUGCUGCUUGGGUUGACAUAUGCACUUAAUCUUGAGUAUCCAUCCAAGGUUUCCAAAACAUUUGAGGUGUUUCAAAGACUUUUCGUGGGACUUGACACACUGCGCCCAAAACCAAGCCCCAAGUUCAUGACUCUGAAAAACAAGCUCCUCGCCUAGGCACUCAGACAUGACUGUCACUCUGCACUUGUGAACAGCUGUUUUCUUUGUCUGUUCAACAUCAUUGUACACUGGACAUAAUGUUGAAUUUUUCAGGAUGUUCUAAUGGUUUGUUCUUGUAAUGUGUUAUACUAUGCUGCAGGUCAUUCUGGUGUGCAAAAAAGUUUAUAUUUUAUACACACAAAAUAGCCCUGCUGUGAAGCUGCACUUUAAAAACUGGUCAGUUAGUGGGAUCAGUGAGAUGUUUAACUAAAGAGGUUUCAAAAUAUUCACACACUGUGAAGGUAUUAUGCUAAGCUGCACUUUUUAAGUUGAGGUCAGAUGCUCAUGCUUGUGAUGCUCAUGCUUGUGACAUGCUGUAAUGUUAGUGUUAAAUGUUUCAAUGUUAUGUACACACUGUACUGUUAAGGUGUUUUACUAACCAGCAGUUUAUAAGCUAAGGUUAUGCUUUCUUUAAUGCAAGAACACAGAUGUUCUUGAUAGUUUAUACUGUCCAGCUCAUUGCUACUGUUUGUAUAUGGCUUGUGACAAAAGUGCCUGUUAACUUGAUAUUAAAAUGUUUUAAUAUUAUGUAUGUACACAGUAAAAAAUACUGUGAAGGUGUUCUACUAACCUGCACUUUGUAAGCUGAUGCAGAUGUUAUUGGUUGUUUACACUGUCCAGCUCAUUGCUGCUGUUUGUAUAUGGCAAUUAAUAAAUGCUGGAAAUUGACACAGUAUCUAAGCAACUAAUUAUUUGAAGCCGUUUACACUUCCAAAACAAGAAAGGGCAAACUGGUUAAAAUUAAUAAAUCAGAAGCCAUUAACCAGUAUUUUUUCAUUUAAAUGUUACCUAUUUUAAUUAAGCCUAAUGUGUGUAAUAUGCUGAUAUUUUUUACAUUGAUUGUACUCAAUUUAUUGGCUUUUUCUGAAAGUGCUACUUAAUAUUUUUACAUACAUUGAAAUGCUUAUUAUUAAGUUGGCCUUACUCAAAAUAUCAGUUAGUUCACUAAACUUGCAAAAAGUAGUUGGAAAAUGUUGUCUUAAUUUUAUUGAGUUAGAUCCAAGUAACAGUUUUAACAGUGUACAUCACUCUCAGAGCGAUUGCAUGUCUGACAGAUGACCAAGUUUACUGAGUGCCGUUAAGAGAUGGAUUCUGGGGCAGGAACCCAAUUUAU